AGAAAGAUAGGAUGAGAGAUCCUGCCUGCAGGAGUUCGUAAUCCGAAAUCAAAAUACAGGCUGUGCUCGGAGAAGCUUGUCUUAAUCACUCUUCGGACGCGGGUUCAACUCCCGCCGCCUCCACCA
rnacentral:tmRNA from 1 species